rnacentral:rRNA from 1 species
UACGAAGGGGGCUAGCGUUGUUCGGAAUUACUGGGCGUAAAGCGCGCGCAGGCGGCUCUUCAAGUCAGGGGUGAAAGCCCAGAGCUCAACUCUGGAACUGCCUUUGAGACUGAAGAGCUUGAGUACGGGAGAGGUGAGUGGAAUUCCCAGUGUAGAGGUGAAAUUCGUAGAUAUUGGGAAGAACACCAGUGGCGAAGGCGGCUGACUGGACAUGUAUUGACGCUGAGGUGACGAAAGGCGUGGGGAGCAAACAGG